rfam:Trichobilharzia regenti genome assembly, scaffold: TRE_scaffold0092740
GUACUGAUGAAGAGUCCCAAACAAGGACGAAACAGUUGUCCAGUAC